UGGGGAAUAUUGCACAAUGGGCGCAAGCCUGAUGCAGCGACGCCGCGUGGGGGAUGACGGCCUUCGGGUUGUAAACUCCUUUCGCUAGGGACGAAGCUUUUUGUGACGGUACCUAGAUAAGAAGCACCGGCUAACUACGUGCCAGCAGCCGCGGUAAUACGUAGGGUGCGAGCGUUGUCCGGAAUUACUGGGCGUAAAGGGCUCGUAGCUGGUUUGUCGCGUCGUCUGUGAAAUUCCGGGGCUUAACUCCGGGCGUGCAGGCGAUACGGGCAUAACUUGAGUACUGUAGGGGUAACUGGAAUUCCUGGUGUAGCGGUGAAAUGCGCAGAUAUCAGGAGGAACACCGAUGGCGAAGGCAGGUUACUGGGCAGUUACUGACGCUGAGGAGCGAAAGCAUGGGUAGCGAACAGG
rnacentral:rRNA from 1 species